rnacentral:rRNA from 1 species
AGUGAACGCUGGCGGUAGGCCUAACACAUGCAAGUCGAACGGCGGCACAGUAAGAGCUUGCUCUUACGGGUGGCGAGUGGCGGACGGGUGAGGAAUACAUCGGAAUCUACUUUUUCGUGGGGGAUAACGUAGGGAAACUUACGCUAAUACCGCAUACGACCUACGGGUGAAAGCAGGGGAUCUUCGGACCUUGCGCGAUUGAAUGAGCCGAUGUCGGAUUAGCUAGUUGGCGGGGUAAAGGCCCACCAAGGCGACGAUCCGUAGCUGGUCUGAGAGGAUGAUCAGCGACACUGGAACUGAGACACGGUCCAGACUCCUACGGGAGGCAGCAGUGGGGAAUAUUGGACAAUGGGCGCAAGCCUGAUCCAGCCAUACCGCGUGGGUGAAGAAGGCCUUCGGGUUGUAAAGCCCUUUUGUUGGGAAAGAAAAGCAGCAGGUUAAUACCCCGCUGUUCUGACGGUACCCAAAGAAUAAGCACCGGCUAACUUCGUG